rnacentral:lncRNA from 1 species
GGGCCGGGCUGUGCUGAGGCCGGCGGGGUGGUAGCACAGGAGGGGUUCGCAGGCUCUGCGGCCGUGCGUGGCGGGGCGUGGGGGCCCGCAGGGCGGAAGUAGCUCGGAGAGACGGGCUGGGGCAGGGCGUGCGUUCGUGCGGUCAAAAUCCACUGGUGGCGUUUGGGGUGUUCCCGUGGACGCGGCCUCCCGGCAGGCGGACCUCCACCGGGUGGGCGCGGCAGGCGGGCUGUGCGGGCAGGAAGAGCGACGAGCUUGAGAGUGGGAGAUGGGGUGCAACGGCGGGCCUCUCCGGGGAGGUGACACUGCCGCUGAGACCCGAAUGGAAGGGCGCGCCCGGCGGGGGAACAGCAGGCGCCGAGGUUCGCUGGAAGCAGGGAAGGGAGGCCCGGGUACCGGCUCGCAGGCCCGCGCGAGCUUCGCGGCAGCGGCACGGAGCGUGUGAACGGCGCAGCGCCGAGGCUUCAUCCAUCGGCCGGUGCAGGGUCCGGGCAGGGAGCACUGUCGACCAGGGUCCGACCCUGGGAGAGUCCAGAGGUGGCGCCUCUGGCAGGGACAGAGGAGGGGGUGACGCUGUAGGGGUGCAGGCAGGAGGCUCCGCGUCAACUCCCCACACUGACGGGGCGGAUUUUUUUUUUUUUUUGACAGAGUCUCGCACUGUUGCCCAGGCUGGAGUGCAGCGGCGCGAUCUCGGCUCACUGCAACCUCCGCCUCCCGGGUUCAAGCGAUUCUCCUGCCUCAGCCUCCCGAGUAGCUGGGAUUACAGGCGCACACUACCACACCCGGCUAAUUUUUUUUGUAUUUUUCUGGUAGAGACAGGGUUUCACUAUGUUGGCCAGACUGGUCGAGAACUCCUGACCUCGUGAUCCGCUCCUAGGUUCGCCUUGGCCUCCCAAAGUGCUCGCUCCUGGGCGUCCCAAAGUGCUGGGAUUACAGGCGUGAGCCACCGCCCCCGGCCGAGGGCGGGUUUUGUUCUCUGCUGUGCCUGUCAGGCAGUCGUUGCCCUGUGGUUAUUUGUGGAGGGAUUGACGGUGCGCUGAGCUUCAGACUUUGUCUGAACAGCUUCGUGGCAGCAAGGAAGGGAGAAGGGAACAGAUCCAAGCCGAUCUUUGGGAGGAGAGAACCAGCAUGACUUGGAGACUUUAGAUGUCAGAGCAAAGGACAGGGUGCAGCUUGGUGACCCGGAGUGGGUGGGUGGGUGAAUGGAUGGAUAGAUAGUGGGGAUGUGGUCUGCCAUCACUGCCCUCUUCCCUGUGUGGGAAGCCAGCUCUUGGUGACUUCCUGCCGAGACCCACUCCCUCUGGCCCUGUCCGAGGGUGUCAAGUGUGCCCUUGACCCUUCACCCUGGGCUAAGGGAUGUCCAAGGAGUUGGGGACAAAGGCAGCUAGGAGGAGGAGCUACCUCCCGAGUCUGCUGCAGUAAGUCACCAGUGUGUUCCUGUGGGUGGAGGCUGGCAGGCCCAUCAGUCUGGUUUGGGUACCCGUUGGAUUUGGGUUUGAUGACAUGUAAAGUGAGUUAGAGUCUCUGCAUUACUGUCACACCUGCUGUGCCCAGGCAUGGAAGAUUAAGUGGAACAGAGGGGCCGCCCCCCUGCUGAAGGGGCCCCAGAGUCGGCGCUAGGGGAGGGGGCAGCCUCGGUGGUCCAGGCAGGCAUAGGCGGAAUUCUCUGAGGUGGCAUUGGAGUCCAGUGGUCAGAGGUGCUAAAAGGCCCCAAACCUAGAGCCCAUGCCCAGGGCCCCACUGACACCUGGUGGGCAGGGGCAGCCUGGUGACCCCACAUGACAUGGGUGGGCGUGACGCAGCACCAGCUGGGCCGACAGCCCUCCCCCUGCUGGUUUUUAAUGCUCUGCAGUAAUGUCAUUUGGCCUGCGAAUAAGCUUUCACACAUUUUAUAUUAAAUCUACAAGUAUGAUUUAUUCAGGCACUUACGAAUUUAAUCAAAUUUGUUUCUAAAUAUUACUGAUUUUUGUUAUCAAAUGUGCCAUCAGCUGUUGAGCUUUGAGAAUUGAGCAUCCUGGCUUUUGCCAUUUUGAGGAUCAGCAGAAGCAUGUCUGGAAGAAAUGUGAGAAAAUAAAACUCAGGAGCCUACCCCCACCCUGCCCUUCCAGGAGCUCAGCCCCAGAGCCAGGCUGCUAAGGCCAUGGAGGCUGAGGGCAGUGGAGCUGGGGUUUCUGGAGCCUCAGGGGCCCUGGUUUGCUGGAAGGGCAGGCAGGGCUUCAUGGAGGGCAUUAGGCAGUGGCCAGAGCCCUGCAGUGCUGGGCAUGGGCUUCUCGUGGGCUCUGGCCACGGCCCUGAGCUCCUCCCCUUACCUUCCCAGAGCGGAGGGUCACCUGCUGAGCUGGGCACGGGCUUCUCGUGGGCUCUGGCCACGGCCCUGAGCUCCUCCCCUUGCCUUCCCAGAGCGGAGGGUCACCUGCUGACAGUUUGGGGCGGCUCUGUCUUUGAGAGCAUGCCCUCAUGAAGGCAGAAUGUCCUCCCUGCCUCCAUCCUCUGUGGCCCGGUGGCUCCUGCAGUGCCUGCCCUCAGAGGCUGGUGGCCUGGGACACAGGGAUGAGGAUGGGCUUGGUGGUGCUGCAGGUCACAGUGGGUCAUGAAGGAGCUUUGGGGGUGUUGCAUUCUCUGGUAAAGCACAGCAAGGGAGCCCUUUUACCCACUACUAAAACCUGGCUCUGCACUGAGGCCAUGCGCAGCCCAGUCAGGUGGACGAGGGGGUAACGACUGGACCGUGGGGAGGCAUCAGAGGAGGAGCUGCUGAGAGGCGGGUCACCACAGCCUGGUGCCUGUCUGGAGAGGGUGGGGCUGGGGGAGGUGCUGGCCAGGUCCAUGGGGGUGGCCAGGCUGGGUCUGAAAGGGCCUUGCGCUGGUGUGGGGUGAGCUUGGUCUGUUGGGAGAGUAUGCAGUUCAUUGGGGCCUCCCUGGCUCCAGGUUUGCAUGUCUGAGGAGUGGGUAUCAUCAGGGCCUGGGGCCUCUCCAGUGGGCAUGUCUGAACUCUCCCAGGGUUGGGAGCCUGUGCUCAUCACAAGCUCAAAGCACUCCAUUUCUGCUACCAUGAAGUCAAGGAUGGUGACUGUGAGCCGCCUGGGACCUGAGCUGCCUGGGACUGUGACUGAGGCACCCGGGGUGCCUCUUAGGGCCUUGGGUUUGGGCCCAUGGCUAGAUGAGCCUUGGUGAUUCUGUGGUAUUGCCUGGGCCAGGUGGACCCAGGGGCAGCUGCGGCUAGUCCAUUUGGAGCUCCUUCAAGCCGAAGCAUCCAACACCAGUGUCUGUGAGGUGUGGG